UACGGAGGGAGCUAGCGUUGUUCGGAAUUACUGGGCGUAAAGCGCGCGUAGGUGGUUUGUUAAGUUGAAUGUGAAAUCCCCGGGCUCAACCUGGGAACUGCAUCCAAAACUGGCAAGCUAGAGUAGGGCAGAGGGUGGUGGAAUUUCCUGUGUAGCGGUGAAAUGCGUAGAUAUAGGAAGGAACACCAGUGGCGAAGGCGACCACCUGGGCUCAUACUGACACUGAGGUGCGAAAGCGUGGGGAGCAAACAGG
rnacentral:rRNA from 1 species